AUAAAUUAACCUUUUUUAGAAGCCUUCUCGGAAAUCUUGUUGGGAUGCAUGCAAGCAUUUCUCCAAUCAUUCUCAGCAUCUUCCCACCCGCAGACAGACCCACCAAACCCAUAUAUCAUGGUUAAAGUGCCUUAUUUACUAUAUCAGUACACACUUUUGUUUGCCAUCAGCGUCUCUGUAAUGUUUACGUGUUUACUCUUCGCCUUUUUCCGAGUUAGAAAGCGGCAAACAUGCAAAAUUUAUUUAUAAACAUUGACAUUGCUAUGAAUGUGGGCAUAUAUGUAUGUACGCGAGCGUAUGUACAGACCAACUUGAGUAAACAAAGGCAAAGAGAAUUAUCACGAGGGCUGAAAAUUCUUUAUAAAUCAAGGCAUCAAAGAAGUCGGUUUAGAGCCACAAUGGAAAAGGAAAGUAUGGCUAGCCCAUUCUGCGUAGACUAAGUGUUGGCCAAAACGAAAUGAUUCCUUUAAAAUAUUACCCCUAUUUGUUUAUGGUAAAGAAAUGGAGGUAUCUUAAGAAAUUAUUUGAAGAUCAUCUCUGGGAAAAUCUAGCAAACUUGCGGUAUAAACAAUGUAUAGCGUCUAGACUAGUCGACGACAACGAAAAUGUGCUUUCCCCGUAUAUAUUAUGCUGAAAUGCGUUUCGCUUUUGUUUAAUCACAGCAGGCCUAUGGCUCAUACUGUAACAGAUACCUUAUAAUAUAUCUUUAGAAAUAAACAGAGAUUUUACUCACCCUUAA